rnacentral:rRNA from 1 species
UGGGGAAUAUUGGACAAUGGGCGCAAGCCUGAUCCAGCCAUGCCGCGUGUGUGAAGAAGGCCUUUUGGUUGUAAAGCACUUUAAGCGAGGAGGAGGCUACUUGGAUUAAUACUCUAGGAUAGUGGGCGUUACUCGCAGAAUAAGCACCGGCUAACUCUGUGCCAGCAGCCGCGGUAAUACAGAGGGUGCGAGCGUUAGUCGGAUUUACUGGGCGUAAAGCGUGCGUAGGCGGCUUUUAAGUCGGAUGUGAAAUCCCUGAGCUUAACUUAGGAAUUGCAUUCGAUACUGGGAAGCUAGAGUAUGGGAGAGGAUGGUAGAAUUCCAGGUGUAGCGGUGAAAUGCGUAGAGAUCUGGAGGAAUACCGAUGGCGAAGGCAGCCAUCUGGCCUAAUACUGACGCUGAGGUACGAAAGCAUGGGGAGCAAACAGGAUUAGAUACCCGGGUAGUCCCUGAGCGGGCUGGCAAG